AUGCUUCUGCUUAAAUCUAUAGCCUCAAGCCACGGCACUUUGGGUGGUGAGAUCCUGUCAAAUCUCACCAGCUCAGCAGGCUCCAAACAAGUCGAGGCUUGGAUGCAGAUGUCUGGGGAGAAGCAAGUUCACAGAAGGAGAACUGAGACACCAGGAGAUGAAAUGGACCUAACCACAGUGACCAAGGAGAGGCAUAAAAAUGAGUGGAAGAGAGUGAGGAUGGACAAAGGGAGAAGCAGCAAGUAUCCUAAAUGGCUGACAAACUUCCUACGACCAUUCCACACUGGAAAAAUAAGGCCCUCAGAACAGCCGAGGUCUCUUGGUGACAAUCAACAUAAGAUCUGUAUGAACCUGUGUAAACUACAUUAG
rnacentral:lncRNA from 1 species